UAAUCAAUAGAUUUGGCAUCUCCAUGGAGGACUGCAACAGCCAGCAUCAGGAAAGUUUGAAAGAAGGCUCCUGCUCCUCAUCAUCUGGGCUUGAUGCAUCAAGCUUUGCUGAUUUCUCGCUGUCAAGGCAGAUCCCACUUUGUUUUUCCUGGUGGCUGUCCUAGCCCCCAGAGGCAAGAAGUAAGAAGACCAGCCUGCUGUGAGAUCCUGAGUGAAUUUGCUGGAUCCUGGAGUCAUUUGGUAGCUGGCAGGGAAGCUGUGAUUGUUGUGUCCUACACCUGGUUCUGAACUUGUGCCUGCUGACCACAUCUGCCUUAACGCGAGGACUGCUAAAAUAGGAGAAAAUUAAGUGGAAUCAAACACAAGGUGAACAUCUGCAAAUCAAACCUCCUUCAAGCAAGCUCUGAAUCAGAGAGAGAGGGAUGACCUUAAAGCAAAACCUUACAGUGUAGGACAGAACACUUUUUCAUGAUCCAGCACUACACAGAAUAGAAAUAAUACAUAGAUAAGAGAGAGGCAGAGAUUGCUCUCUUUCC